GUCACUGUGGAACUUCUUAAUGGGAUGGGCAGUGAAGAUAUUCAAAAGUCUGCCAACACUUAUGAAAGCUACAUAAUAAUCAUGAUACGUUUAAGACAGGACAAAUUACAUAUUUCUGUGAUAUGGUUGUGAGCUAUACCAUUGUAGAUUUAACUUCUCUGAAUGUUUGAAAAUUAACCUCUGUGAAAAAAGGAACUGGAUUUAUAAAAAAAUAAAUAGAUAUAUGGUUUGUAUUCAAUGUUUUAAGUUCAAAUCACUUUUCACAAACUUUAUAAAAGAUUUGAUAUUGAUGGCUAUUUAUGAAUUUUGUAUGUAAUUAAAAUUACAUAAUCAUGAUAUAUACACAUCUUUUAUAUCUGACAACAUUUUUUAUUUUCAUUUUCAAAUUUUGUUUAUAUAUAUAUACUGUAUGAUAAGAAAUAUUUGCAACUUGAUAUUUUUUGAGUGGAUGAGAUUGUCUAUUGGCACUUUCUUUCUUUAUUUUCACAACAUUACAUUAUAUUUUAAUGUAUGAACUUAUGCUAAGAAAAUGACACUACUGUUAACAUUGUGCUCUUUUCUUUAAGAAAGUGAAUAGAGUUAAUAUAAAUCAGAUCCCGUCAUGUGUACAGAUAUGAAUGAUUUUCUAUUCAUCUCGUGUUUAUGGAAUUAUAUUUUUAGUUGGAUAUCAAUUUCCAAUAUUAACACCAGUCAUAAAAAAACAAAACUUUUUUCAAUGAAUAUCAAAAGUGAAUAAGAUAGGUGACUAUAUGUUUAAAUUAUUUAAGCCCUGGCUACGAUUUACAAAAAAAUAUCACAUAAUCAUGAUAAUGAAUACAAGAUGUCAAUGGUAAACAUUUUUUAAACCAGACUUGUAUCUAGGCUCUAUAUUUGUUUUGUAAUUAUGAAUACACAUUAAGUAAAAUAUAGCUCUUAUGUCCAUAGUGACUAUUACUCUGUAUUUUUCAAAGCAGUGUUAUACUUUGUAUCUGUUAUCAUGGUUCAGAGUAAUGUCUUACUACUUUUUGUUGAUGUGUACAGUUAUCAGUACUUGAUGUGUAUUUGAAUGUUAGUUUUAAAAUACCUAUUUUUUUCAUUAAUAUUUAUUUUCUUGUGUAGGUUCUUUUUAUACUUUUAUAUUUUGUUAGUAUGACUUGUUGAAUUUUGAUGCCUUUCUUAUUUGUUUAUAUAAGACAUGACUGAUAAAAAAAAUUUGAAAACUAAAUUACCAGUAUUGUACUGUAAUUAAAUUUUUACACAUAUUAUAUUAAAACUUAAGGGCAUUAUAUAUUACUUGACAGUUAUUAUCUUAAAAGAUCAAAUAAAUCUUAAGAUUUAGAUAUAACCACCACUUUUUUUGCUCUCGUUCUAUUAUCAGAUUUCCAAAAAUCUAUUUGGAUACUUUAUUUCUUGUUUGGUUAUCUGACAACACUUGAUAGUCAUGUUGUUUAUCGAAAGAGACAUCUAUAUUACUAAUUGGUGGCACGAGUUAUAUUCAUAACUUAAAUGUUGUGCUCAUGUCUGGUUUUUUUUAAUUUGUUUUGUAUUUAAUUCAACAGAGAGAGAAACUUUCAUAGAAAAAAAUUCAAUCAUACUAAAUUAGAUAUGCAGUCAGUAAGACGCAUACAUUAUCUUAAAAAGUACUCUUGUCCCAAAAAAAAAUAACCUAGAUAAGUACUCAUGAGUAUUUAUUGGAUGUUUUUAUUUUACAACAAAUAAUGAUUUGGGAUAUGUAUGUGACUUAAAUUUGAAAGUCUAUCGUAACAGUGUUAACUUCUGAAUUCAUACAUCAAUAGUUGUUUAAGAUUUGUGAUGACAGUAUUUAGUUAAUAAAUAUCUCAAAUUGAUUUAAAUCAACACAAAUUACUAUGAAUACAUUUAUAUUCAGGGGUACCAAUUUUACUGGAUUAAGGAAUACUUGCUUUUCCAUGGAUACUAAAUUUCGUGGUUUUGUCAAAGUCUACGUUAAAUUUUUUGGUUAACUUGUUCUCAUGAAAUUCAUGCAAAUUGAUUACCAAUGAAUAAUAAUGAAUCCACAGUAUAUCCUCAUCAGUUUAAAAAAAAAAAAGGGUUAGAAAAAAUAUUCUCUCAUUGAUUGAAGUUUUUAUAUAUUUCAUAAAAAAAAAGUCAUACCAAACGGUUUGUUAAAUUGUCUAUUGCAAUUAACUUAUAAGUGUGUAUUUACUUGGAUUGGUAGUUAAUUCAUUUCACAUUAUUAACAUUGCUUUGCAAAAGAACUCAUCAGGAUUUUUUUCUCUUCCCUUCAAUGAGAGAGAGUUCAGCAAAGAAACUAAAUGUUAGUUGUUUACAAUAGAAGGACAAUCUACAUGUAGUGUAUAUCUUAAUUUUUGUUUAGUAAAAUUAUUUUCAUGUCAUUGGUUGUACUAUUAUUUGAAGCCAUAUAUUUUCAUUAUGUACAACUGUUUUCAAGAUUAAGAAUGAAAUUAAUUGUGCUUUAUAAUUACA
rnacentral:lncRNA from 1 species